GGCGUCAUAGCUCAGCUGGGAGAUCAACAGACUGAAGUAAAAUGUAUUUGUGUUCGAUUCGAAUGUAUCUGGAGGUCCCGUGUUCAAUCCACGGUGAUGCCA